rnacentral:rRNA from 1 species
UGAUUGAGGUGAAGUCGUAACAAGGUAGCCGUAGGAGAACCUGCGGCUGGAUCACCUCCUUUCUAAGGAGA